rnacentral:rRNA from 1 species
UACAGAGGUCUCGAGCGUUAGGCGGAAUCACUGGGCUUAAAGCGUGUGUAGGCGGAUCGUUAAGUGCCUUGUGAAAUCCCACGGCUUAACCGUGGAACUGCUUGGCAUACUGCCGUGCUUGAGGACUGGAGAGGAGACUGGAAUUUACGGUGUAGCGGUGAAAUGCGUAGAUAUCGUAAGGAAGACCAGUGGCGAAGGCGGGUCUCUGGACAGUUCCUGACGCUGAGGCACGAAGGUCAGGGGAGCAAACGGG